rnacentral:rRNA from 1 species
GAUGAACGCUGGCGGCGUGCCUAAUACAUGCAAGUCGAGCGAACAGACGAGGAGCUUGCUCCUCUGACGUUAGCGGCGGACGGGUGAGUAACACGUGGAUAACCUACCUAUAAGACUGGGAUAACUUCGGGAAACCGGAGCUAAUACCGGAUAAUAUAUUGAACCGCAUGGUUCAAUAGUGAAAGACGGUUUUGCUGUCACUUAUAGAUGGAUCCGCGCCGCAUUAGCUAGUUGUUAAGGUAACGGCUUACCAAGGCAACGAUGCGUAGCCGACCUGAGAGGGUGAUCGGCCACACUGGAACUGAGACACGGUCCAGACUCCUACGGGAGGCAGCAGUAGGGAAUCUUCCGCAAUGGGCGAAAGCCUGACGGAGCAACGCCGCGUGAGUGAUGAAGGUCUUCGGAUCGUAAAACUCUGUUAUUAGGGAAGAACAAAUGUGUAAGUAACUAUGCACGUCUUGACGGUACCUAGUCAGAAAGCCACGGCUAACUACGUG